UACGGGGGGGGCAAGCGUUGUUCGGAAUUACUGGGCGUAAAGGGCUCGUAGGCGGCCAACUAAGUCAGACGUGAAAUCCCCAGGCUUAACUUGGGAACUGCGUCUGAUACUGGGUGGCUUGAGUUCGGGAGAGGAAUGUGGAAUUCCAGGUGUAGCGGUGAAAUGCGUAGAUAUCUGGAGGAACACCGGUGGCGAAGGCGGCAUUCUGGACCGAAACUGACGCUGAGGCGCGAAAGCCAGGGGAGCAAACGGG
rnacentral:rRNA from 1 species